rnacentral:tRNA from 1 species
GCCACCUUAGCUCAGUGGUAGAGCAGCGGUUUUGUAAACCGUUGGUCCUCGGUUCAAAUCCGAGAGGUGGCU